GGGAGGUUGGCGAUGGACAGAAUUACCGCCAACCCGGUCAGGUCCGGAAGGAAGCAGCCGUAACGGAUUCGUUCUGGGUCGUUGUCCAGCCUCCCACC
rnacentral:SRP_RNA from 1 species